GCCUUCAUAGUGUAACGGUUAGCACACUCGGCGCGUAUUCGAGAGGUCCAGGUUCGAGUCCCGGCAACGGCA
rnacentral:tRNA from 1 species